ACAGAGGGUGCGAGCGUUAAUCGGAAUUACUGGGCGUAAAGGGUACGUAGGCGGAUAUAUAAGUCGGAUGUGAAAUCCCUGGGCUCAACCUAGGAACUGCAUUCGAUACUGUAAAUCUAGAGUACAGCAGAGGAAAGUGGAAUUUCUAGUGUAGCGGUGAAAUGCGUAGAUAUUAGAAGGAACACCAGUGGCGAAGGCGACUUUCUGGGCUGAUACUGACGCUGAGGUACGAAAGCGUGGGGAGCAAACAGG
rnacentral:rRNA from 1 species